UCUGUCAGGCUGUGGCUCUCCGGUGUGUCUGUGUGGGAACGGGGUGAAGAAGAAGGGUAUUGGGCCCAGUGUGCACAGGGUGGUGACACGUUUGUCCCUUGGGCCACAGGGGCUUGAGAGUCGGUGGGGCCUGGUUUCCCAGGACCUGGUGGGAUGGGAAUGGGGCUCAUUGCCCCCAUUCUGGGGACUCAGAGGCCCCCUCAAGUUGAGCCAGGACCCUCUCAGUGCCAGCUCACCCUCGGGUUGAUCCAGGCAUCGGGCCUUCCCCGCCUCCUCUGCCUUUACCUGGGAUUUAGCAUUUCCAGCGCCCCUUCUGGAGACCACGGCCAGUCCUGCUCACAGCCUCUCCGCUCCUACGUUAGCCAUGUCGUCCUCCGUGGCCAUGACAGGUCACUACCCAAGCAGGAUGUCGCGCGCCAGUUCCUUACCCUGUCCCUAGACUGCCAUUGUACGACCACCAACCUCACCCCCACCCAAGACCACCACCUCCGCCUCCACCUCCACCAGCAUCACGAGGGACCUGCUCAGAUCCAUGUGGGGGAGACCUGCAUCCAGGGGGAGGACGCAUGAGGUCACGGGCCAGGAAGGGCGUGCCCUGCGAGGCCAGCCCUUGGGAACAAGGUCCUGUUUUCCAGCUGGGAUUGCUGAGUUGGUUGAUAUUAAUUUGAAGCUGCUAUUAUCAUCCUGUCACCAUGAAGGGAGUGAAGUUUACACCACAAAAGAGGGACAUCUACACUGAGGAAGACUGACAAAGAGACGAAGAGCAACAGAUACCUGAAGGAAUCCACUGAGCACCUGGAUCCAGCUCUGCCUGAAGCCUAUCCUCUCGUUAUGUGAGGCAAUAAAUUCUC